UUGGAGGGCAAGUCUGGUGCCAGCAGCCGCGGUAAUUCCAGCUCCAAUAGCGUAUAUUAAAGUUGUUGCAGUUAAAAAGCUCGUAGUUGAAUUUCGGGGUUAGUAGGUUGGUCAUGCCUCUGGUAUGCACUGGUCCCACUGAUUCCUCCUUCCUGAUGAGCCGUAAUGCCAUUAAUUUGGUGUUGCGGGGAAUUUGGACUGUUACUUUGAAAAAAUUAGAGUGUUUAAAGCAAGCUAACGCUUGAAUACAUUAGCAUGGAAUAAUGAAAUAGGACGUUCGAUCCUAUUUUGUUGGUUUCUAGGAUUGACGUAAUGAUUAAUAGGGAUAGUUGGGGGCAUUAGUAUUCAAUUGUCAGAGGUGAAAUUCUUGGAUUUAUUGAAGACUAACUACUGCGAAAGCAUUUGCCAAGGAUGUUUUCAUUAAUCAAGAACGAAAGUUAGGGGAUCGAAGACGAUCAGAUACCGUCGUAGUCUUAACCAUAAACUAUGCCGACUAGGGAUCGGAUGAUGUUAAUUUUUUAAUGACUCAUUCGGCGCCUUACGGGAAAC
rnacentral:rRNA from 1 species